rnacentral:hammerhead_ribozyme from 1 species
AUCCAGCUGACGAGUCCGAAAUAGGACGAAACAUGCAU